rnacentral:rRNA from 1 species
AGAGUUUGAUUCUGGCUCAGGAUUAAUGCUGGUGGUAUGCAUAACACAUGCAAGUCGAACGAGUAGAACUUGUUCUGCUAGUGGCAAACGGGCGAGUAAUACAUAUUUAACUUACUUUUACGAGGAGGAUAGCAGUUCGAAAGGACUAUUAAUACUCCAUAGGUUUAUAAACUAAAUCAAAGAGGCUCCCUCGGGGGCCUCGCGUGAAAAUAGGAAUAUGUCCUAUUAGGUAGUUGGCGGGGUAAAGGCCCACCAAGCCAGUGAUGGGUAGCUGGACUGAGAGGUUGAACAGCCGCAAUGGGAUUGAGAUAUGGCCCAUAUUCCUACGGGAAGCAGCAGUGAGGAAUUUUUCACAAUGGACGAAAGUCUGAUGGAGCAAUACCACGUGAACGAUGAAGGUCUUCUGAUUGUAAAGUUCUUUUAUUUAGGAAAAAAAGCGCGCUAGGAAAUGAGCGCGCCUUGAUGGUACUAAUUGAAUAAGUGACAGCUAACUAUGUGCCAGCAGCUGCGGUAAAACAUAGGUCACGAGCAUUAUCCGGAUUUAUUGGGCGUAAAGGAAGCGUAGGUGGGGAGGUUGAUCCAUUGUUAAAGGCAUUUGCUUAACAAAUGUGUGCGAUGGAGAUCGCCUCCCUAGAGUUAAUCAGG